UACGUAGGGGGCAAGCGUUGUCCGGAAUCAUUGGGCGUAAAGAGCGUGUAGGCGGUUCGGUAAGUCGGCUGUGAAAGUCCAGGGCUCAACCCUGGGAUGCCGGUCGAUACUGCCGGACUAGAGUUCGGAAGAGGCGAGUGGAAUUCCCGGUGUAGCGGUGAAAUGCGCAGAUAUCGGGAGGAACACCUAUGGCGAAGGCAGCUCGCUGGGACGUUACUGACGCUGAGACGCGAAAGCGUGGAGAGCAAACAGG
rnacentral:rRNA from 1 species